GGAAGACUCUCCCGGACCUUCAGAUAUGGGCAAACAGGAGAGGAAGAGGUUUUACAAUAGGUCUUUCCUGCUUUUACGGAACCCUGCAAUGCCUGACACCAUCCUUCAGAGCACCACCCUCAGGUUUCCUUAUCUGAGCCGGGACUGCAGCGGCGCCGACGGUCAGUGAGUCAAUUACAUACUGCCCACUCAAAAAAAAAAAAAAAAAAAGGAAUUCAAACUUCGUAUUCUACUAUUUCCUGAAAGAUAUGAACUCCUAAGCAACCUUUCCCUCGAGUCCAUUUAAGCUCAGCGCAUACCCCAAAAAAGAUACACUACAAUGUGCCUCAAAGAACCUCAAGAGGGAGGAGAAAAACAACUUUUCCAUAGGAUAAGAUGAAGGAUAAAGGGAUUACAUCUUACUGAAGUCACUGAGCAUCUUCGGAUUUGAAACAAGAACAUGUGAUUUCUGCUUAAGUAGGUGGCUUCUUGAUGGAAACGAAUGUAUUUUCCAUGUGUUAGCAACAGAAAAGCUAAAAACCACGUACCUCAGUGCUUAUACUGCUCGGGGGCAGUGAGGCCCCUCCUGUGAGUAACUGGAAUGGCCCAUGUUGACCAAAGAGGUACGGCGGCGGCAGUAGGUACAGAUUAAAAGUGAAGAAAACCGACUCCAUCACUCUGGAAAUCAUCAUCUCUUUAAUGCCACUGAUGAGUGUAAAUUAUUGGCCCUAUUCUUUGUUCCUAAAAUUCUCUUAAACGCAAAUGCACCCAUGUCACCCCCCCUAGCUGACUGUAAGAUUCAUGAAUACAGGAGUCACGCCUGUCUGUCCCUAAACCCAGCACAGUUCCUGGUUUAAGCGAUCAUUAAGUUUUG